rnacentral:rRNA from 1 species
AGAUAAUAGAUACCCUGGUAGUCCACGCCGUAAACGUUGGGCGCUAGAUGUGGGGACCUUUCCACGGUUUCCGUGUCGUAGCUAAACGCAUUAAGCGCCCCGCCUGGGGAGUACGGCCGCAAGGCUAAAACUCAAAGGAAUUGACGGGGGCCCGGCACAAGCGGCGGAGCAUGCGGAUUAAUUACGAUGCAACGCGAAGAACCUUACCAAGGCUUGACAUAUACGAGAACGCUGCAGAAAUGUAGAACUCUUUGGUACACUCGUAUACAGGUGGUGCAUGGUUGUCGUCAGCUCGUGUCGUGAGAUGUUGGGUUAAGUCCCGCAACGAGCGCAACCCUCGUCGCAUGUUGCCAGCACGUUAUGGUGGGAACUCAUGUGAGACUGCCGGGGUCAACUCGGAGGAAGGUGGGGAUGACGUCAAAUCAUCAUGCCCCUUAUGACUUGGGCUUCACGCAUGCUACAAUGGCCGGUACAAAGGGCUGCGAUGUCGUAAGGCGGAGCGAAUCCCAAAAA